GCGCCUCCGAUUGCACCUCCACCUCCCCCUCCCCCUGCCCCUGCCCCUGCCGGCCCGACCGGCAGGGGUUUGUCCACCUGUCUGCCCCUUCAACCUACGAUGCAGCUGGCGGGAGGCUAAAACCACGACCCAAACAAGAUCUCUGUCCCCAGCAGCUCCAGAAGCACCAUAGCGUCGUCAAGACCUCGGGCUCUGGAGGGACGGUGUCCCUAAGCUGGAGUUCGGGCUCCGAAACUUCCAACUAUGAGAAAAACCAAAGCUUGGAGAGGUUAAGGAAGUUGUCCAACUUUAUACAGCCAAAAUGUGACCCUUGGGAGCAGAAGCUAGCCAAGUGAGGUACAAGAGCAACUCCCAAACUCCAGAUGUUGCUGUCUUCCAUCUUCAGAGUUCCAACUGUAUACAGAAAGAAUUAUCUGGACGGAAGGCUGCCAACUCCCUAUGGCUAGACUCAACUAGCAAGCAGCAACAGAAACCAGGAGAAUCCCAGGAAUGGGAACAUCCAGCCCUUGGCAGAAUUAGGGAACAGUCUGCCUAAAACACUUUCUACCUGGGGGCAUCUGCGUGGCUCAGUCAGUUAAGCACUGGCCUUUGGCCCAGGUCAUCAUCCCAAGAUCCUGGGAUCGAGCCCAUCGAGCCCAUCAGACUCCCUGCUCAUCGGGAAACUUGUUUCUCCCUCUCUUCCCAGCUUGCACUGUCACUCAA